rnacentral:tRNA from 1 species
GGAUAUAGCUCAGUUGGUAGAGCACUUGCGUCAUAUGUACAAAGCCCUGGGUUCAAUCCCCAGCACCA